rnacentral:lncRNA from 1 species
AACCAACCCUAGAAUAACCCAAUCCAAUCAUAUACCAAAGUCAAUCGGACCAAUCUUGGUUGAAUAAAAAAUACGAACCAUUUCAAUUUUCAAAGAUGGAUGGGAUAUGGAUCAGUAGGGAACAAAUCCAAAUCCAAACUACCCAAAGCUAACACGCUAUGUUUUUGACAACUCACAAUGAAUUUAAGAAAGUAAUAUGCUUUUACUAGGAAAUUUAUGAGUUUUAAUGAUGAUAUACAUGUGGUUGCACUUUGUCUAAAUGUUUUAAUGGUGAAAAGGUUGUUGAGAAAGUCUAAAUGUUGUAUAAUGAUUAUUUUCUAGCUAUAAUAUGUUUAGGAUCUAUUCAAGCCGCUAAUAGAUAUUUCUUACACAUUUUUAUUUGGGCUAUCCUUGUCCCAGUUUGACUCCUAGAACCCAUGGAUCAACAAAAGAACUCAUAAAACUGGUUUGACCCACCCAUAUUAAAAUGGACUAGGAGUGCAUUGAAAUUUUUUAUCGGAAUAGAGUAUGAACUGGAUUAGAUUGUGCCAAACCCCAGUCCAAAC